GGGUAGGUAUGCCUAGUGGCGAAGGCAGGGGUCUGUAAAACCCUGACAACAGAAACACCGUGAGUUCGAGUCUCACCCUGCCCACUA
rnacentral:tRNA from 1 species